ACAAUGGAGAGUUUGAUCCUGGCUCAGGAUGAACGCUAGCUACAGGCUUAACACAUGCAAGUCGAGGGGAAACGAUAGAGAAAGCUUGCUUUUUCUAGGCGUCGACCGGCGCACGGGUGAGUAACGCGUAUCCAACCUGCCCAUCACUUGGGGAUAACCUUGCGAAAGUAAGACUAAUACCCAAUGGUAUCUCUAGAAGACAUCUGAAGGAGAUUAAAGAUUUAUCGGUGAUGGAUGGGGAUGCGUCUGAUUAGCUUGUUGGCGGGGUAACGGCCCACCAAGGCGACGAUCAGUAGGGGUUCUGAGAGGAAGGUCCCCCACAUUGGAACUGAGACA
rnacentral:rRNA from 1 species